rnacentral:lncRNA from 1 species
AAGACGUUUGACGUGGUUAUAAAAGGAGGAGAAGAGUGGGGCAUGCAAGAAGAAGUUUUUUGGAGAAAAAUUUUGGGGCAUGAGAAGUCUUGUGCGUGAGAAGGAAGUCCCUAUCCUUCCAAGAGAAAAAGAAAGAAAAGAAAGAAAAGUGGGUGCAAGGUUUCCGGUGAGUUUCCUAGAGUUUUAGCCUGGGGUUCGGGAAGAGAGAAAGUGAGCUACGAGUGUCGUGAGCCCACAAAAUCU